CCACCAGGAGUGGAGCCUGCGGCUUAAUUUGACUCAACACGGGAAAUCUCACCAGGCCCGGACACCGGAAGGAUUGACAGAUUAACAGCUCUUUCUUGAUUCGGUGGGUGGUGGUGCAUGGCCGUUCUUAGUUGGUGGAGCGAUUUGUCUGGUUAAUUCCGGUAACGAACGAGACUCUAGCCUGCUAAAUAGGCGUCGUCAUUUAGGUGUGCGUGGCUCCGUCACGCAACUCACUGGCGACGUAUUAAAAUUCUUCUUAGAGGGACCGGCGGCUUCGAGCCGCACGAGAUUGAGCAAUAACAGGUCUGUGAUGCCCUUAGAUGUCCUGGGCCGCACGCGCGCUACACUGAAGGAAUCAGCAUGUUCUCCCUGGCCUAGAGGCCCGGGCAACCCGCUGAAACUCCUUCGUGCUGGGGAUUGGGGUUUGCAAUUAUCCCCCAUAAACGAGGAAUUCCUAGUAAGCGCGAGUCAUAAGCUCGCGUUGAUUACGUCCCUGCCCUUUGUACACACCGCCCGUCGCUACUACCGAUUGAAUGAUUUAGUGAGGUCUUCGGACCGACACGCGGUGGCUUCGCGGCCGUCGGCGUUGCUGGGAAGUUGACCAAACUUGAUCAUUUAGAGGAAGUAAAAGUCGUAACAAGGUUUCCGUAGGU
rnacentral:rRNA from 1 species